rfam:Bacillus ginsengihumi strain M2.11 NODE_9, whole genome shotgun sequence.
ACGAUGUUCCGCUACAUUUAUGAUAAAAGAUUUGUAAGAGCAUCUG